rnacentral:rRNA from 1 species
AUUGAACGCUGGCGGCAUGCCUUACACAUGCAAGUCGAACGGCAGCACGGGUGCUUGCACCUGGUGGCGAGUGGCGAACGGGUGAGUAAUAUAUCGGAACGUACCUUAUUGUGGGGGAUAACGCAGCGAAAGCUGUGCUAAUACCGCAUAAUCCCUUAGGGGGAAAGCGGGGGACCGUAAGGCCUCGCGCAAUUAGAGCGGCCGAUACCUGAUUAGCUAGUUGGUGAGGUAAAGGCUCACCAAGGCGACGAUCAGUAGCUGGUCUGAGAGGACGAUCGGCCACACUGGGACUGAGACACGGCCCAGACUCCUACGGGAGGCAGCAGUGGGGAAUUUUGGACAAUGGGGGCAACCCUGAUCCAGCAAUGCCGCGUGAGUGAAGAAGGCCUUCGGGUUGUAAAGCUCUUUUGUCAGGGAAGAAGCAGCAGCUCUAACACAGUAUGCGAAUGACGGUACCUGAAGAAUAAGCACCGGCUAACUACGUGCCAGCCGCCGCAGUAA